UACGUAGGGGGCAAGCGUUGUCCGGAUUUAUUGGGCGUAAAGAGCGUGUAGGCGGUUAGGUAGGUCCGUUGUGAAAACUCGAGGCUCAACCUCGAGACGCCGAUGGAAACCAUCUAACUAGAGUCCGGAAGAGGAGAGUGGAAUUCCUGGUGUAGCGGUGGAAUGCGCAGAUAUCAGGAGGAACACCAACGGCGAAGGCAGCUCGCUGGGACGGUAGCUGACGCUGAGGCGCGAAAGCGUGGGGAGCGAACAGG
rnacentral:rRNA from 1 species